UCCUACGGGGGGCAGCAGUCGAGAAUUUUUCACAAUGGGCGAAAGCCUGAUGGAGCGACGCCGCGUGGGGGAUGAAUGGCUUCGGCCCGUAAACCCCUGUCAUUCGGGAUCAAAUCUGACAACCUAACACGUUGUUAGUUGAUAGUACUGAAAGAGGAAGGGACGGCUAACUCUGUGCCAGCAGCCGCGGUAAUACAGAGGUCCCAAGCGUUGUUCGGAUUUACUGGGCGUAAAGGGAGCGUAGGUGGCGGGCAAAGUCUAAUGUGAAAGCUCUGAGCUUAACUCAGAAAUGGCAUUGGAUACUGGCUUGCUAGAGGAUUGGAGGGGAGACUGGAAUUCUCGGUGUAGCAGUGAAAUGCGUAGAUAUCGAGAGGAACACCAGUGGCGAAGGCGAGUCUCUGGACAAUUCCUGACACUGAUGCUCGAAAGCUAGGGGAGCAAACGGGAUUAGAUACCCCGGUAGG
rnacentral:rRNA from 1 species